rnacentral:rRNA from 1 species
UACGUAGGGGGCAAGCGUUGUCCGGAAUUAUUGGGCGUAAAGCGCGUGUAGGCGGCUUUGCAAGUCGGGUGUGAAAGCCCUCAGCUCAACUGAGGAAGUGCGCCCGAAACUGCAGAGCUUGAGUGCCGGAGAGGGUGGCGGAAUUCCCCAAGUAGAGGUGAAAUUCGUAGAUAUGGGGAGGAACACCGGUGGCGAAGGCGGCCACCUGGACGGGUAACUGACGCUGGAGACGCGAAAGCGUGGGGAGCAAACAGG